GUAGACGACGAGACUGCCUGCCGGCGGAAGCGAUACCAGCGGCCCAGCGCAGGCGUGCCAUAGCUCCGAGUUGAUCACCGGCGCCUUCUUCUCCCCUGCACAACAAAGACCAACCACCGCGUCAGUAACCGAAGAGAAGCCCACGCGCUCAGGGAGACGGGAUGACACCGCCCAGCAUCAUGGGUCGGUGGGGUCCUGAGUGCUGGCCAACGACGGUACGCCACGUGGAGACCUCGCUGCUGCUGUUUUACGAUCCGGCGGGAUCUUGUGGCGAUCAUUCUGUUUCCUGCCCGUGUGAAGCGGACGAGCGCCCCACGGGCGGCGGCAGAAAGAUGCAAUGGAGGCACGCAUAACUCGUUGCUGCGUUUGAGGGGGCUCACGCAGAAAACGCUCUCUCGCCCGCACGCGCAGCACCGGCUUUGCUUUUGCGCAUGCUUGACGGAAAGCUCAUCGUCGUAAACUCGUACUAGUAAAUUGAAUUGAUAGCAUUCUGUAUUUCCAGUACCCAGCUAUUUUUUUUGACUGUAUUUUCAGUA